GAUAAGGUGACCGAAAUAGGUGGUGAGCUGUAGUCUCAUUUAUAAAGGUUUAAUCCUUUUCUUAUCAA
rnacentral:tRNA from 1 species